GCCCUGAUAGCUCAGUCGGUAGAGCAGAGGAUUGAAAAUCCUCGUGUCGGCGGUUCGAUUCCGUCUCAGGGCACCA
rnacentral:tRNA from 1 species